rnacentral:rRNA from 1 species
CCGCACGCGCGCUACACUGAUAAAGUCAGCGAGUAUUCACCUUGACCGGAAGGUCUGGGUAAUCUUUUGAAACUUUAUCGUGAUGGGGAUAGACCAUUGCAAUUAUUGGUCAUGAACGAGGAAUUCCUAGUAAGCGCAAGUCAUCAGCUUGCGUUGAUUACAU